AAUGUUUAAUUACUAUACUAACUUUAGGGGCCUCUCUUAUUGAAAAGAGGGGUAAUCUGGUAUUAAAUGUAACAAAGUCUCUCUGAAGAGGUUGGCAAUAAAUUAAAGAUCUUAAUGAUCCUGGGGUAUUUUGGUUUUUUCUUUAUGUUUAAUUACAUCACCCAUUAAUAAAAUAAUCCUUAUAUGAAGUUAUAUGAGAUUAGAAGUAGCUGCAGGUAUGGAGGAAAGAGAAGAUUUUUUAAAAGGUCCUGCUAUUUCAUUAUGAAUCGGCUCCUUAAGGUCUGAUCAACACAGAGGUUAGCUGUAAAAAAACACUUAAGAAUGCACAGACUUGAGAGUUUUAAGAAAUCACUGACAGACAACACAUGUUAAAUUAAUAAUACCAUUCCGAUUGGUUCCCCACUUUUUCUGGGGCCUAUUGACAUGCUUAUUUGCAAUACAGCUAUUUAAGGUGAGCACAUUUUCACAAGAACAGACCGCAUGACCUUCUGGAGAGAAUGAGACCUGAUUUGGAUCUGAUCUGGAAAAAAGCACUGGUAAUGGAAUCUACAGCAUAAGCCAUUCAUCGGUAAAACAACGGGGGGAGAGAUCUCUGACGUGUGAAAUCGAGGGUGUCCCCAGUCCCAGAUAGGAGCAUCCCUCUACCUCUGUCACGCCACGUUCGGGGCGACCCCCAACACCACUGUAGUCUGAGCGCCAGGCAUAUUUUUGAGCUUCUCAGUGUGGCCUAGAACAGCUCUGGAUGACCCCAUCCCAAACACACUCCAAACGAGGUGCCAUACAGAUCUGCCUCGCGAGCACAGCGCUGCGACCGUCAACUUUAUGGUUACACCAACUGAAUAAGCUGGAGGCGUUUGAUAGCGGUGUGGUUUUCUUCAGCAGUGAGAAAUGUAUUUUUGAUUUCCUUUCUAUUUUCUUGUGAUGGGAUGAUUUCAUAAACGGUCAAACAUGGGUGAUUUAGCAGCUACAGAAACGUCGUUUCUGCAUUGUUUGAAUGAUAUAAUCCCCCUAAGCGAAAAUGAAUACAUAUAUAGUGAAAUGUCAUUUCCUCAGUGUUCAAACAAUAUUAGCGAAUUGAAUGACGAAGAACUAGAUGUAAACGACCAUUCCUCCCCCUCGGAAACAAACUCAUGCUAUCCACCAACAUUAGAUAGCGCACUGGAAGUAGUUUUAGACAGCCACCAAAACUAUGAAGCAGACCUUGUGGUUUUAAAUCAGCACGCAGACAAAGUACCUCUGUCUUCA